rnacentral:lncRNA from 1 species
UGCGAAUUGAAACUCCACAAAAACACACCUACAAAUUAAAGUAAACAAGGAGAAAUCCCAUGAGAAUUUUUCUUUUUCAUGUCUCGGAGAAUUUUUUCUUUUUCUUACUUAUUUCCUUCUUGAACUUAGGGUGAAUAAUAUAUACUAUUAUAACCUUGGGUUAAUGGUCUUGUUGUCUUCUUUCCUUUAGCUUCUUUAAUGGAUCAAGCUCCAUCUUCCUCAUUGAUCCAUGCUUGGACAAAGAGUUGAAAGAUUUGUUAUAAUCUUUUAGCUCUCCUCCUUUUAAUGAGCCCACUUGGCAUUGAGAUAUCAUUUCUGUCAACUUGAUCCAUAUUCAUAGUCACAUCAACAGGGGAAUAAAAAUUAAGGUUAUAGAGAAAAAAAUAAAGAAGUAGAAUUGAAAAUUCGACACAAG